rnacentral:lncRNA from 1 species
CAAAAAGCGGGGAGAGUGGGGAUGUAGCUCUGUGCAGUGGCCCUGGGUUCAAUCCCCAGUACCAAAACACGGAGGGUGGGACUGAGGGAGUUGGAUUAGACUUACUCUUUCCAACUCCAGGUAUUUAUGUGACACCUGCUGCCUACCAAAGACUCGGACCUGGUGAGUGAUAAGCUGCUCAGAGAAGCACAGCACUGUGUCCAAGGGGAAGGAGAGGCCCUUGGAGGCCACUGCCCUGGGGCUGGACCCUGAAAGUGGGUAACUUGGUACACUGCAGACAGAAAAGGAAGUGGGGAACCGGGUAUCCAGGGCCUGGUUUGGCUGGAGUGUUGGGGAGCAGAGAGGAGCCCUCAGGAGCAAGGCAAGCAGGGAGAGAGUAGGCGGGAGGACAGGCUGUGAUCCUGCCAGGUGUGAGGAAUCUGUCAGCGGGGUGGGAAAGGAGGCUGGAGCCUAGGGGAGAUUGAGGUAGAAAAGAGGGGGCUCUGCUGGUGGGCACCUCGGGAAGCAACUUUGGGGGUUGGGGGCUGCCAUCUCCCCGCCUUUGAGCUCCUCCUGGCUUGCCUGGCAUCAGCAUGUGAAAGGCUGGGGCAGCCUGGGGGCGGGGCCUUCUUAACUCCUUUCCACCUGCUGCGCUCAGGUUAUUUAGGCUUAAAGCUGCCAGAGAGAGUGUGGCCAGCCUCGCUAAAUUCCUGGGGCCUCGGGCUCAGUCCUGCUGGAAGGUUGGGGUUAUUAUCUCUGCCAGAAGCCAGAAGAGGAAACUGCAGUUUAAAGAGGUUUGGAAAGCAUCCUCAGAUCACUGAGUAAAAAGGUCUCAUUUUGUAGCCUGUGUUGGCUUCGAACUACAGAUCCCUCUGCUUCAGCCUACCUCGCUGCUGAAAUGACCAGUGUGUAUCUCCAAGCACAGAUCCUGUAUGCUUAGGUCUCCUAGAUUUCUUACAAUGCCUAAUACAAGGAACAUAUCAAGAAGGAGAACAGCUGGGUUGAAUGGAACCUCUACUUUUAAUUUUUUGAGGAAUCUCCACACUGAUUUCCACAGUGGUUGCACCAGUCUACACUCCCACCAAUAGUGGAGAAGGGUUCCUUCUUCCCCACAACCCUGCCAG